rnacentral:rRNA from 1 species
UACGAAGGGUGCAAGCGUUAAUCGGAAUUACUGGGCGUAAAGCGUGCGCAGGCGGUUUUGUAAGUCAGAUGUGAAAUCCCCGGGCUUAACCUGGGAACUGCGUUUGAAACUACAAGGCUAGAGUGUGGCAGAGGGGGGUGGAAUUCCACGUGUAGCAGUGAAAUGCGUAGAGAUGUGGAGGAACACCGAUGGCGAAGGCAGCCCCCUGGGUUAACACUGACGCUCAGGCACGAAAGCGUGGGGAGCAAACAGG